UCAGAGAGCGAGAGCUGCCGCAGGCAGUUGGCAUGGUCUUGCGCGUUGAAGAAGAGUCGUGUGGCCGUGAAGGGCGUCGUUGGCGGAGUGUUGCAUCGGCGGAAAUCGAUUAACUGCGGUUGUUGGUCGGGAAUGGUAGAUCAAAAGUAUGAUUAGGUAGCUUUCAAGGGUGGUGCGAUUUUGUUCGGAUUGUUUCGCGAUUGUCGAUGAUUUCGUCGGAUGGAGAAUCGUGCAUGUUUCGACGGUGUUCACGGAGGACUUUGAAUUGUGCAGGUUUUUUUUAUGCUCGAUUUGGUCAUGGUGAGGCAAAGCUUUGGAGUUAUUUUGAUCAAGGUUUCGAUGCAGAUUUGCACCAAGCUGCUGGAACUGCUUUUUUGCUUUAGAAAUUUUCCAUGUAAUUUGUUUAUUUGUAAAGUUCUUGAAGUUUGGCAAUUGUAUGACAUUUAGAUCCUCUUUUUUGAGUGGAACUUUGAUUGUGAACUUGGAAUUGUAGUUGUAAAUGGCAAGGUAUUUGUAAUGAAUUUGAAAUCUGUAAUGGAAGUUGUACAU